rnacentral:rRNA from 1 species
UACGAAGGGGGCUAGCGUUGCUCGGAAUCACUGGGCGUAAAGCGCACGUAGGCGGCUUCUAAGUCAGGGGUGAAAUCCUGGAGCUCAACUCCAGAACUGCCUUUGAAUACUGGAGAGCUUGAGUCCGGGAGAGGGAGUGCGGAAUUCCAGGUGUAGCGGUGAAAUGCGUAGAUAUCGAUAAGGAAGCCAGUGGCGAAGGCGGGCUCCGUGGACGAGUUCCUGACGCUGAGGCACGAAGGUCAGGGGAGGCAAACGGG